rnacentral:sRNA from 1 species
UAUUCGGGUAGAUCCAAGACAUAACAAGGAAACAUGGUUCAAUUCUGCUAUCUUGCUGCACCCUGGUGUCUAUGGAAUGAGCAAAGAUUUUAAUGCGUGGGAAACUACUUUUGCAGAUUUCUCUCCAAUUGAUCCAAAGGACCUUUUA